GCCAGGCACAGUGGCGCGUGCCUGUAGUCCCAGCUACUUGGGGGGCUGAGGUGGGAGGAUCACUGGAGCCGACGAGUUCUGGGCUGUAGUGCGUUAUGCUGAUCGGUGUCCGCACUAAGUUCAGCAUCAAUAUGGUGACCUCCCUGGAGCGGGGGACCACCAGGUUGCCUAGGAGAGGUGAACCGGCCCAGGUCAGAAAUGGAGCAGGUCAAAACUCCCGUGCUGAUCAGUAGUGGGAUCGUGCCUAUGAAUAGCCACUGCACUCCAGCCUGGGCAACAUAGCGAGACACUAUCUCU
rnacentral:SRP_RNA from 1 species